CUAAUUCCUUUGGAUAAGAUGACCAAUGGCUUUUACAACGCCAGAACAGAUGGUGGCAGUAGUGUGCGGAUUGUGUGUGGCAGCCGGAAACAACGAGCUUGCCGAGUUCUUUGACUGAAUACAUAUCCGCGGACACUCUGAAGGCGGCAUUCAAGAUGUUUGUAGGGUCCUCACCUCAGCUACCUCUCACAAGGUGCCCCUGAAAAAGAAAUUCAAGACGUUUGGGUCCUCAGCUCAACUGACCAAGACCUUUGCUCAUUGAAGGCAUGAAGUAAUUUGUGAUGCCCCCACGAUUGCAGUUUUUAAAUCCAGAUGGCUUGCUCUUUUUAACAUGUGCGAGAGCUGGAUGGUCUUUCAACAACACUGCUCCGGGUCUUCAGCAAGAAAGGUGCUUCUCAUGCAAGGAAGAUACAGAGGAUCCUGGUGCCCAUGACUCAGACUGACAACAUUGAUGUGAAGAGGGAGUGCAUGCUGAGGAGCUGACGGUCUACCUGAAUGAAGAGCCAGACAAAGUGGAUGUUGAUCUGGACGGUCCAGCUGAAACGUAUUGUCUUCGUGUGCGUGUGAUCGGCAGAGAGUCCUCAACGACAUUGGUAACUUACCUGUGGCCAUUGCAGUGUUUGUUUUGGUUUAUGCUCUUAAUCUCUGUUACCUUCCAGAAUGGAAGUACACUUUCAAAUUUCUGUUUCAUUCUAACCGUCUGUUUCAUCAGUUUUUGCACUGCUUUUAAAUGUACACUGUGUAAGAUUCUUAGUUGUUUAUUUCCAGAAUUCAUGCUACCCAUUCACUAAUGUUACCUUUUUCAUGAAUACUUAGCACCACCAUUAGGGUGCAUCAGUUGCCCCCUAUGAAAAGAUAUGGC